AUCCAGACACACCCAUUUCAUGCAACUUAGCCUAUUUUCACCGGAAGAUUCCGCCAAAGCCACCAGGACGGUAACCGUCCUAGAGAACUGACUUGUAACUCAAUUCAACAGAAAAAGAAUGCAUGUUAAGUGCCAGAAUAUAUCUAUGCUAGGAUAUAAAGGAAGAGCAAUAUUUUGCACAUUCUCCAGAAUAGGGAUGAUCCCUAAGGGAGAUAUCAAAGAGUUGGGUAUUCUAAUACUAGGAGGCAGCGUCCGUUCUGCCUAGAGAGCAGAUGUGACUGUUUAGAACUCUUUGUUGAGCGAAUAAACUGGGGAGAAGGGCAAGGUUAAGUCCGACGCAUUUUCAGAUCCGCCACCAUUUACCUUAGGACCUGGAGAAAAGACUGUUUCAGUUAGCUAGCUUGAAGGCCUGCUUGGGAAGCAAGAUAGACAAGGAUUUUUUUUCCCCAUCCUCUAGCCUCACGCCUUAUUUUUCUUUCACAAUUCUGGCCAAAGAAAGCAGUAACUCAUAAUCAGAAGAGAAUUUAUCAUGAAGUUAAUUAAGCUGUGUACCUAAUUUUGUAUCUGUCAUCGUGUAUUCUUAAAAGAAGACUCCGACAUUGUAUAAGUUCUGGAUCUGAACAAAACCUGGAUAAACUCUGGUGCUUUAUUAACUUGAUGAAGAUUAGUGACACUGAGGAAUACUGAGGAACCAGGCUCUAUUCCACCCCAUCCCCUUCAUACACACCUCAUUCCAAAUGCUAUCCUGUCACAGCAGAUGCCACAUCACUUUUGGGGUGGGCUAAGAGAUCAAGGACAUAUGCCGUGCCCAAAUUUCAUCUAAUAAUUAAAAAUACGGGAAGUGACACAAAAGGGAAAACACAGGAUGCUCUGGAAACUUGUUAUAGGCAGCGAGUGGGAAGGAGACCUAGAGUCAGAGGAAGCUACUACUGGAAAGAGGAGCAGAACUGAGCCAGGCAAAUAGGAGAGAAAAUGUAUUUCAGGCAGAAGAAACAGCACUCUGGAAACCCAACAUCUAGCCUUUGAGAAUGUAAAAUGAAGCCAGGAUGACACUACCAAUUCCAAGCUGUGUGUGUGUGCAUGCAUGUGCAUGUAUGUGUAUAUAUAUUAGAUGUAUAUUUUAACAUUCUGACUUAACAUUAAUAUUAACAUAUUAAUAUUUAUUUAUUGAAAUAUUUAACGUGUAUUUUAAUAUUAAAUUCUGGAUUUCCAAACCAGAUCAGAAAUAGUCUUCACUCUGUUUUCAGUAGGUCAGAUCCCACAGGGCAAGAGGGGGAGGAGACAGCUCCCACUGUUUCUUGGCCUUACCUCCACCCCCAUCCCAAUUAAGGCACGUCCCCUUCCCUGCAGCUACCUCUCUAAAGAGCCCUCUCCUUUUAACACUGGUUCCCAGAUUUUCCCAUUUAUCUCACAGCAGCAGGAGUCACAGCUGGGUUCAAUCUCUGCACGCCACCAUCACCGCCCCUCCCCCAAAGUUGUAGAAAUGUUAUUCUAAAUUUAAACCACACAGCACCAAACUAAAAAUGGCUUUAAAAGAGGAUCAA
rnacentral:lncRNA from 1 species